AGAGUUUGAUCCUGGCUCAGGAUGAACGCUGGCGGCGUGCUUAACACAUGCAAGUCGAACGAUCCUUCGGGAUAGUGGCGGACGGGUGAGUAACGCGUGGGAAUCUGCCCUCAGGAGGGGGAUAACGGCUGGAAACGGCCGCUAAUACCCCAUAUGCCGAGAGGUGAAAUGAAUUUCGCCUGAGGAUGAGCCCGCGUCUGAUUAGCUAGUUGGUGGGGUAAAGGCCUACCAAGGCAACGAUCAGUAGCUGGUCUGAGAGGAUGAUCAGCCACACUGGGACUGAGACACGGCCCAGACUCCUACGGGAGGCAGCAGUGGGGAAUUUUCCGCAAUGGGCGAAAGCCUGACGGAGCAACGCCGCGUGAGGGAUGAAGGCCUCUGGGCUGUAAACCUCUUUUCUCAAGGAAGAAGACCUGACGGUACUUGAGGAAUAAGCCACGGCUAAUUCCGUGCCAGCAGCCGCGGUAAUACGGGAGUGGCAAGCGUUAUCCGGAAUUAUUGGGCGUAAAGCGUCCGCAGGCGGCCUUGUAAGUCUGUUGUUAAAGCGUGGAGCUCAACUCCAUUUAAGCAAUGGAAACUACAAGGCUGGAGUGUGGUAGGGGCAGAGGGAAUUCCCGGUGUAGCGGUGAAAUGCGUAGAUAUCGGGAAGAACACCAGUGGCGAAGGCGCUCUGCUGGGCCAUAACUGACGCUCAUGGACGAAAGCCAGGGGAGCGAAAGGGAUUAGAUACCCCUGUAGUCCUGGCCGUAAACGAUGAACACUAGGUGUCGGGGGAAUCGACCCCCUCGGUGUCGUAGCCAACGCGUUAAGUGUUCCGCCAGGGGAGUACGCACGCAAGUGUGAAACUCAAAGGAAUUGACGGGGGCCCGCACAAGCGGUGGAGUAUGUGGUUUAAUUCGAUGCAACGCGAAGAACCUUACCAGGGUUUGACAUCCUGCGAACCCCUGAGAAAUCGGGGGGUGCCUUCGGGAGCGCAGAGACAGGUGGUGCAUGGCUGUCGUCAGCUCGUGUCGUGAGAUGUUGGGUUAAGUCCCGCAACGAGCGCAACCCACGUCUUUAGUUGCCAGCAUUCAGUUGGGCACUCUAGAGAGACCGCCGGUGAUAAACCGGAGGAAGGUGUGGAUGACGUCAAGUCAUCAUGCCCCUUACAUCCUGGGCUACACACGCACUACAAUGCUACGGACAAAGGGCAGCAAGCUCGCGAGAGUUAGCAAAUCCCAUAAACCGUGGCUCAGUUCAGAUCGUAGGCUGCAACUCGCCUACGUGAAGGAGGAAUCGCUAGUAAUCGCAGGUCAGCAUACUGCGGUGAAUACGUUCCCGGGCCUUGUACACACCGC
rnacentral:rRNA from 1 species